rnacentral:hammerhead_ribozyme from 1 species
CUACUGAUGAUGAGUCCCAGACCAGGACGAAACGACUGUCCAGUAC